rnacentral:rRNA from 1 species
ACUCUUGCGCGAGGCAGCAGUGCGGAAUCUUGGACAAUGGGCGAAAGCCUGAUCCCGCAAUGCCGCGUGAGUGAUGAAGUCCUUGGGGAAGUAAAGUCUUUAACCC